UGAAGGUAAAGUUUACGGAAAAAUGUUUGAUAGAGCAUUGUGCGAGAAGAUGUGAGUUUGAUAUUGUUAGUUAUCUCCUUGUGCAUAGUUGUUUCGGUAAAUAGAAAUUGGAAACUGUCACUACGAGCUGUACUAUAGAUGGAAUAAAUCCUCAGCUUGUCAAAUUGGUGAUUUACGCGCAUUUUGAAUUAAGUCUCUUGGGGGAAACCUCCAACGCGAUGAUGGAUGUAGGCACAUUGGAAUCCACAUACACAGAUGAAGAUCAGAAAAUGAGAGUCAUGUAUCAAUCAAUGGAUGAAGAAGAUUAUCUCAUUAAUCCGUGCUCUCAGCUCAGUUUAAUAGAGAAAUGCCAACCAUGAUCUUCAGUUAAAAAAAAUCAGAAAAUGUCAGCUGCUGCAAAGGAGUAAGUGUUAGAAACAACAUUUUGUAAAUCAGAUUGGGAUACAGGAAGAAAUAUAGUUCUUCUUCAGGAUUGGAGGUCUUGCACACUCGUAGAUUAAUCUGACUCCUCAGACAGCGAAACUAAUUCACCACACAUUCACUCUAUGCCAUCAGAAUUCAUUCAUACAGCGCAUCCUGAAAGUGCAACACCAACGCUACCUACAGCGACUACUUUUGAACGGAAUACUGCACAAGUAUCCGGCGAUUCGUGGAAUACAUUAUCGCAACAGCCUUUGGGCACUAAUCUUGAGGAAGAUUCCGAAUGUUUUAACAUAAAACCAUUGCAAGACUAUAUUUUAAGUUCUGAAGAUUUCAUUAUGUUCAAAGAAUCUGGGCUUAAAUUAUGAGAAGUUGUUAUAGUCAUACUUGGUAUUGGUACGCAAUUUGGCUUAAGCUAUAAACCUUGACGUGCUUUAAUAGAGGCAACGAAGCUUUUUGCGGGACCAUUAUUUGCUUCAUGGGAUAUUAGCGAUUACUACUUAUCACAGAUAUUUAAUCCGCCGAAUGAUGUUAUUAGGUAUCACUUUUCUUGGGAGGUAUGCUGUAAGGAAUUGGAAACAGCUACAACAACAACAAAAUUUAAGAAUCAUAGGAUAGUUUGUAAGAAGUGCUUACGUGAUUAUUCAUUGUCAAUGCGUUCAUCUGACCGCUUUUUAUCUAUAGAUAUUAAAUACCAGUUAGCAUCAUUACUAAAAAUGAAAAAUGUAAAGGAUGGAUUGCUACAACAUUUGAAGAAUGUGAGCUAUCAAAUCGAGACCGAUGGAUCUAUUAGUGAUGUUUAUGGCUCAAUACUUUAUAAGAAAAUAAUGCAAAAAGCGGAGGAAAAUUGUGUUAUAUUGACAUGUAUUGCUGCCAAGCUUAUGCUUUCGUUAUCCAUUAUUGGCUAGAUCAUGGAUAGGGAAAAAGGAACCGUCUCCUGAGCUAAUGAAUAUGUAUAUGAAGCCACUUGUAGAUCAAGUUAAUGACCUUGGGAAUGGCCCUAUUCUCCAGAACAGAGUACAGUACAAUAGGAAAUUUGGUUGUUCUUGGUGUCUCUGUGAAGGCGAACAUAAAUUUGGUUGCGUACGUUUUCUGAUGGAAGAAGAAGAACCAUUCAACAGAAUCAAUGCCGCUCACUUGAUUGACAUAAAUUCUAUUAUCCAACAUAAAAAGGCAUAUAUUAAACAAAAAUCAUACAAAUUAAAAGUAACCGAAAAACUGCGUCAAGAGUCAGGAGAAGAAGAUUCGAAAAGUUAAGAUAAAGGACAAUUACUUAUAGGAAGUCAUUUAGAGUCCGUUACGAAAACUUUGGAAGAAUCUAGUGAUUUAUCCAAGAAUGUGGAAAAAAAGGGAAAGAACGAAAAAGAAGAUUAAUUCUAUAAAUGACAUAAAAGGUUAUUCUAUAUUAACAGAAUUAAAAGGAUUUGACAUAUUUUGGUCAUUUCCCAGAGAUUACCUUCACGCAGAUUUAAUUAGGUAGGAAAUCUAUGGAACAUACGCACUUAUCUCACAAAGCAACAACAAAUGCAGGUAAAUACGCGUUUAAUGCAAAUGACUCCGCCGCAAGAAAUACAUAGACUUCUUCGACCGCUAAUCAGUGAGAAGCGCAAGUGGAAAGCAUCAGAAUCGCGCAGUUGGCUGCUCUACUACGCGAUUUCAUGCUUAAUUGGGACUCUAGACGAGUAUGCUUUGCAGCAUUUCGCUUUGCUUGUAAAAAUUAUUCGUACGUUACUUCAAAGUAAUGUCUCUGAAGCAGAACUUAAAGAAGCGGAACACGAUCUCCUUCAAUUCGCUUGUAUUUACGAAGUACUUUAUGGCGAGGAGAGCAUGAAAUUUAAUGUUCAUUCCGCAAAAUACAUAGUCGAAUGCAUUCGGCACUCUGGUCUACCGGGGGAAACCUCUACUUUUUCGCUCGAAAAUGCUGUCUUCUAUUUGAAGCUAUGUGUGCAAAUGGCCAACAGAACCAUCCAAGGUAAUGUCUUCCAAAAUCUUGUGGAAGAAGUAGUUCAUAAUCCAACCGUUUACAAUUUUUGUAAAUCGCUAUUUUCAAGACAUGAGGUUGCAACAUUUUGUCGUAGUGGUGACAUUGUUUUAAUAGGAAAGGGAACCCCGGAUCCCAAUUACAGAACUCCUUCGGAAGGUAAUAAUCAGGUUCUUAUAUAUGACCGUUUCAUUUCGUCUAGCAUGCUGAUUCAUUCCAAAAAAUAUAACAGACCUACAAAAUCAAAUUAUACUGUAUGCUGAAAUCAUGUGUUUUACAGUAAGUAACGUAGUUUUGUCAUGUAAGGAAACUCAUUCUUAUCAACAUCUUCCACCAAUUGAGGAUGUACUUUUGAGUCAUCUUUUAAAAAUUGAAAAAAAUGCUGGGAAGUCAAUAAUUACAGCUAAGGUGUUACAUGAAAAAUGUGUCUUUAUUAAUUUUGACGAUACCAUGUAUAUUUCAACGAUGCCUAAUACAUGCGAAAUCCAGUAGAAUCCACAUGAAUAUGUAACAAAUAAGAUAAAUUUCAAGAUUUUUUAUGAAA